rnacentral:tRNA from 1 species
GGGCCCAUAGUAAAAUGGCAUUACACAUCCAUGGCAUGGAUGAGGUCCGAGUUCAAUCCUCGGUGGGUCCACCA